UACGUAGGGGGCAAGCGUUGUCCGGAUUUAUUGGGCGUAAAGAGCGUGUAGGCGGCCUGACAGGUCUGCUGUGAAAACUCGAGGCUCAACCUCGAGAUGUCGGCGGAAACCGUCUGGCUAGAGUCCGGAAGAGGAGAGUGGAAUUCCUGGUGUAGCGGUGAAAUGCGCAGAUAUCGGGAGGAACACCAAUGGCGAAGGCAGCUCGCUGGGACGGUACUGACGCUGAGACGCGAAAGCGUGGGGAGCGAACAGG
rnacentral:rRNA from 1 species